GACGAACGCUGGCGGCGUGCUUAACACAUGCAAGUCGAACGGAAAGGCCCCCUUGUGGGGUACUCGAGUGGCGAACGGGUGAGUAACACGUGAGUAACCUACCCUUGACUUUGGGAUAACUUCAGGAAACUGGGGCUAAUACCGGAUAGGAGCUCCUGCUGCAUGGUGGGGGUUGGAAAGUUUCGGCGGUUGGGGAUGGACUCGAGGCUUAUCAGCUUGUUGGUGGGGUAGUGGCUCACCAAGGCUUUGACGGGUAGCCGGCCUGAGAGGGUGACCGGCCACAUUGGGACUGAGAUACGGCCCAGACUCCUACGGGAGGCAGCAGUGGGGAAUAUUGCACAAUGGGUGGAAGCCUGAUGCAGCAACGCCGCGUGCGGGAUGACGGCCUUCGGGUUGUAAACCGCUUUCGCCUGUGACGAAGCGUGAGUGACGGUAAUGGGUAAAGAAGCACCGGCUAACUACGUG
rnacentral:rRNA from 1 species